rnacentral:rRNA from 1 species
CCUACGGGAGGCAGCAGUGAGGAAUAUUGGUCAAUGGGCGGGAGCCUGAACCAGCCAAGUCGCGUGAGGGAAGACGGCCCUACGGGUUGUAAACCUCUUUUGUCGGGGAGCAAAGCGAGUCACGUGUGACUCAUUGAGAGUACCCGAAGAAAAAGCAUCGGCUAACUCCGUGCCAUCAGCCGCGGUAAUACGGAGGAUGCGAGGUUUACCCGGAUUGAUUGGGUUAAAGGGGUGCGCAGGCGGAAGAUCAAGUCAGCGGUAAAAUUGAGGGGCUCAACCUCUUCGAGCCGUUGAAACUGGUUUUCUUGAGUGAGUGAGAAGUAUGCGGAAUGCGUGGUGUAGCGGUGAAAUGCAUAGAUAUCACGCAGAACUCCGAUUGCGAAGGCAGCAUACCGGCGCUCAACUGACGCUCAUGCACGAAAGUGUGGGUAUCGAACAGGAUUAGAUACCCGAGUAGUC